UCCUUCUUAGCUCAGUUGGUAGAGCGCGUCACUAGUAUUGUUGUACAUGACGAGGUCAGUCGUUCAAGUCGGCUAGAAGGAA